rnacentral:rRNA from 1 species
AACGUAGGAGGCGAGCGUUAUCCGGAUUUACUGGGUGUAAAGCGCGUGCAGGCGGUUGGAUAAGUUGGGUGUGAAAGCUCCCGGCUCAACUGGGAGAGGUUGCUCAAGACUGUUCGACUGGAGCGUGGCAGGGGAAGGCGGAAUUCCGGGUGUAGUGGUGAAAUGCGUAGAUAUCCGGAGGAACACCAGUGGCGAAAGCGGCCUUCUGGGCCACGACUGACGCUCAGACGCGAAAGCUAGGGGAGCAAACGGG